UACCCAAAAAUAUUUCUUGGGAGAUUGAAGAAAAAUUUUGGAGACCAAGAAUUUUGGAAUGAAGAAGAUAUGAUUUUAGUUGGAAAGAUGUUGCCUGAUGUCCAGUCUUACGUCAGCAGAUUUCUCAAUGAACCCAUGUCCUGCCUCUCCUCUAUAUAGCCCCGUUCUUAUUGAAUCAACAGACAGAAGGAUUCCUUCGUCCCUCCCCCUCCAAAAUCCCCUCCACCUAACCCACCCAAACUUUUGUUGAUAGUAAUCACCUGUAUGGGUUCUAUGGAGGAAGAGAGAUUGCUCUUGGAAGAUGGGCUCAUAGAGAAUGGUAGCAGAGGACCAUACACAGGAGAUGGAUCGGUUGACAUUAAUGGGAAGCCUGUGUUGAAGCAGAACACUGGGAACUGGAGAGCAUGCCCCUUCAUUCUGGGUACUGAAGGCUGUGAGCGCUUGGCAUCCUGUGGAAUUGCAGCAAAUCUUGUUACUUAUCUCACAAGCAAACUACAUGAAGGGAAUGUCUCUGCUGCAAGAACUGUUACCACUUGGUCUGGCACUUGCUCGCUUGCACCUCUCAUAGGGGCUGUUUUAGCAGAUUCAUAUUGGGGAAGAUAUUGGACAAUUGCAGUUUUCUGCAUAAUCUACUUCAUUGGAAUGGGUACUUUGACCUUGUCAGCUUCAGUUCCUGCCUUCAGACCUCCUCCCUGCAGUGGUUCUGUUUGCACAGACACUACUCCAGCUCAGUAUGCUGUUUUCUUUUGCAGUCUAUAUUUGAUUGCUCUUGGGACUGGUGGAAUAAAACCUUGCGUCUCAUCCUUUGGGGCAGAUCAAUUUGAUGAUACUGAUCCGAGAGAGAGAGUGAAGAAAGGGUCUUUCUUCAAUUGGUUUUACUUGUCUAUCAAUAUUGGCGCUCUUAUAUCAAGUAGUUUUAUCGUUUGGAUUCAAGACAAUGCCGGUUGGGGACUAGGAUUUGGCAUUCCUACUCUGUUCAUGGGCCUUUCUGUUAUAAUUUUCUUUUCAGGCACACCCUUAUAUAGAUUUCAGAAACCAGGAGGAAGCCCUCUUACCAGAAUGUGCCAGGUUGUGGUUGCAUCUAUCAGGAAGUGGAACUUGGAGGUCCCUGAGGAUAGUUUUCUGCUGUAUGAACUACCAGAAGAAACCUCAGCAAUUGAAGGGAGCCGGAAAUUGGAGCAUAGUGAUGAACUCAGGUGCCUUGACAAAGCUGCUGUGGUGUCAGAUCUAGAUGUUAAACAAGAGGAAUUUUCCAAUUCAUGGAGGCUCUGUACUGUAACACAGGUGGAAGAACUGAAGAUUCUGAUACGCAUGAUUCCUAUUUGGGCUACUGGAAUAGUGUUUUCUGCUGUUUAUGCUCAGAUGUUCACCAUGUUUGUGGAGCAAGGGAUGGCUAUGGACACGACUAUCGGUUCCUUCACCAUUCCUCCGGCAUCAUUAUUGACAUUUGACAUAAUCAGUGUCAUUGUCUGGGUCCCGAUGUAUGACAGAAUCAUUGUUCCAAUUGCGAGAAAGUUUACUGGUAAGGAAAGAGGAUUCUCAGAGUUGCAAAGGAUGGGCAUCGGCCUCUUCAUAUCAAUUCUAGCAAUGUCUGCUGCUGCAAUUUUAGAGAUCAAGCGGUUAGAAAUUGCAAAAUCACUUGACUUGGUGGACCAAAAGGUGGCAGUACCUAUGAGUAUUUUAUGGCAGGUACCUCAGUAUUUUUUGGUUGGGGCUGCUGAAAUAUUUAUCUGCAUUGGACAGCUUGAGUUCUUUUAUGAACAAUCUCCUGAUGCCAUGCGCAGUUUAUGUAGUGCUUUGUCACUUCUCAUAACUGCAUUAGGGAAUUACCUUAGCUCCUUUAUCCUGACAAUUGUGACGACCAUAACAACUAAAGGUGGAAGCCCUGGGUGGAUACCCGAUAACUUGAAUGAGGGGCACCUUGAUUACUUCUUCUGGCUCCUAGCUGGUCUUGGCUUCUUGAACUUCAUGGUUUAUGUCUUCUGUGCCUCGAGGUACAAAUGCAAGAAGGCACCAUAGGAUCCUCCAAACAGGAUGUGUUAGUACUGCAGAACAAGCCAAAUACGCAUACUGUACAUAUGAUUCCAGGUAUGUACAAGAACUGAUUUUGAUCAUUCUGGAUCACCCGAAUUGCUUAAUUAUUAAAACCCCUGUUGAACCUCUGUAAUGGUGAAGUUGCAUGUAUAUCGAUACACCUCUGUACAAAUGAAUUGUCAUCUAAUGUAUAGGGCGUCUCUGUAGCCAAUUGAAUUUGGAGAUUUUCCCAGUGAAGUUUGCCUAUAGGCAAUUGAAGUGAACUUGCCAUUGCCACAUGAAGAGUGGGCAAAAAUUGGAUUUAACUUGUUCGGGCAACUUUCAAAACUUACAAUUAUUUUUGUAUCAAUUAUUAGUAUUUCAUCUAGUAUUCAAGUGCAGAUAUGAUC